UUUGGUCAGAAAAGGAGGCUGGGCUGUCGUGUCAUGAGAGAGCCACAAUUCUUCAAACAUAUUUAACUGCUGGAGAGAAUGGCUCAGAAUCCCAGGUAUCAGCUUCAGCACACAACCAAACAAAGAAAAAAACAGCGAAUCUGACAAAAGCAGGAUGAAGAAUAAAAGAGAAGAGAAGAAAUUAAAGAAAUAGGAAGCAGUUAUGAUGAUUAACAAGACUAACAACUAGUUCAAAGAAAAGAAAGCACUAAUAAAUUAGAAAAACAUCUGGAAAACUGGUCAAGUGAAAGACAAAGAAUGUAAAAGAAAAUAUUAUGAGGAACAUGGGGUCAAAUAAUA
rnacentral:lncRNA from 1 species